rnacentral:tRNA from 1 species
AUUAUUUUGGCAGAUUAGUGCGUUGAAUUUAGAAUUCAUUAAUGUAAUAUUUAUUACAAAUAAUA